rnacentral:rRNA from 1 species
AUUGAACGCUGGCGGAAUGCUUUACACAUGCAAGUCGAACGGCAGCACGGACUUCGGUCUGGUGGCGAGUGGCGAACGGGUGAGUAAUACAUCGGAACGUGCCCAGUCGUGGGGGAUAACGUAGCGAAAGCUACGCUAAUACCGCAUACGAUCUAAGGAUGAAAGCGGGGGAUCGCAAGACCUCGCGCGAUUGGAGCGGCCGAUGGCAGAUUAGGUAGUUGGUAGGGUAAAGGCCUACCAAGCCGACGAUCUGUAGCUGGUCUGAGAGGAUGAUCAGCCACACUGGGACUGGGACACGGCCAAGACUCCUACGGGCGGCAGCAGUGGGGAAUUUUGGACAAUGGGCGCAAGCCUGAUACAGCCAUUCCGCGUGCAGGAUGAAGGCCUUCGGGUUGUAAACUGCUUUUGUACAGAACGAAAAGGCUCUGGUUAAUACCCGGGGCUCAUGACGGUACUGUAAGAAUAAGCACCGGCUAACUACGUGCCAGCAGCCGCCGUAA